rnacentral:snoRNA from 1 species
AGGUCAUUUUGUAGGGCUUGUGGGGCUGUGAAACCAAGAGCUCUUAAUGUCUAUGACCAAAUAUUGAAGUCUUCCACAGGAUGUGAUAGCCACCAGGAAACACAAGA